AGGCCAUCCAACUUCAAACAAAAUCUACUCGUUCCCAACAACAUGGACAGACAAAUCACGUGGGCUGAGAUCUUGGAUGAAUAUGAGGCCCGGGAGUCGGCGUGCCAGUCGACCACGUGGGGGGACGUUAUGGAUAAGGUGGACCCUUUCCCAGGCCAAAGUUACAAGAAUCGCUCCCCAAAGAGGAUAAUUGGGGAGUUGAAGGACGUCAGCGGGAUGAAGCAUCUCCAGGAAAAGAACCUUAGCAAAGAAAGAU